AAACGAUGUCUACUUGGAGGUUGUGGCCUUGAGCCGUGGCUUUCGGAGCUAACGCGUUAAGUAGACCGCCUGGGGAGUACGGUCGCAAGAUUAAAACUCAAAUGAAUUGACGGGGGCCCGCACAAGCGGUGGAGCAUGUGGUUUAAUUCGAUGCAACGCGAAGAACCUUACCUACUCUUGACAUCCAGAGAACUUUCCAGAGAUGGAUUGGUGCCUUCGGGAACUCUGAGACAGGUGCUGCAUGGCUGUCGUCAGCUCGUGUUGUGAAAUGUUGGGUUAAGUCCCGCAACGAGCGCAACCCUUAUCCUUGUUUGCCAGCACUUCGGGUGGGAACUCCAGGGAGACUGCCGGUGAUAAACCGGAGGAAGGUGGGGACGACGUCAAGUCAUCAUGGCCCUUACGGGUAGGGCUACACACGUGCUACAAUGGCGCAUACAGAGGGCGGCCAACUUGCGAAAGUGAGCGAAUCCCAAAAAGUGCGUCGUAGUCCGGAUUGGAGUCUGCAACUCGACUCCAUGAAGUCGGAAUCGCUAGUAAUCGUGGAUCAGAAUGCCACGGUGAAUACGUUCCCGGGCCUUGUACACACCGCCCGUCACACCAUGGGAGUGGGCUGCAAAAGAAGUGGGUAGUUUAACCUUCGGGGGGACGCUCACCACUUUGUGGUUCAUGACUGGGGUGAAGUCGUAACAAGGUAACCGUA
rnacentral:rRNA from 1 species